CUCAAGAUGACUUCAGGGGAGACGAAGCUCGGCGAGUCAGGGGAAGGAGGUGAGUAGGAUCAGUUGGUCUGCAUAUGGCAGCUGUUAAUUCUCCUUGGGACCUGGAUUGCUGAGGAAGGUAGUCUCUCUUAUAAGUCUCAUCGCCAACCCACCCCCCAGAGAUACCAAAACAUCCUAAGACCCGGAAAGGUAAAAACCGUAAUUAAUGCAGGUGGACUGACAGGUCAGUGUGCAAGCAGGUGGGUAGGUAAGUGGAUGGACGACUUCAAAUGCCAGCUAUAUAGGUUUCCGUCCCCAAACUGAGAAGAAAAUUGCAAGUACAAGUGGAAAUGAGGCAUGUGACACCCCUCCCCUAACACAGGGUCACUCCUUGAGGCCCAAGUAUUCCUUCACUCAAAACAUGUAUUAAGUUCCUGAUGUAGGCUGGGCCACAAUUACUAGAUCACACACAAUCUUUAGCCACAUUCUAGAACAUUCCAGGUUCUCUGGAUCCCUUCUCUGUCCCCUCCUCCCACUGCAGCUGUUUUCAUGGCAACAGCCUUGGCCAGUCACCACUGAAGGAGAAGAGGCUGGCUGGCCAACUAACAGCCAGGCUCCCUGGGGAUGGAGAAUUACCAUAAACUGGGGAGGCUGCCCAUCACAAUGUACCAGGGUGCUGUGGAGUGAUGGGGGGAGGCAAGAGCACCCCAUGGGCUCUGCAGACCCUACUGAGGAACCACUCCUCUGCCCCAAGCCCCAGGGAUGCACGAGGGGUCACCUAUCCUCAUCAUUUACUCACUGAGUUGGUCAACAAAUUCCAGCUGUGUGCUGGGCUCUGUUCGAGGCUUCUGGACUAGAAAGGGAAGCAACAACAGCCCAUACAGGUACCUUGGGGGCCCAGGAGAACUGCCUGCAUUUCAUUUGGGAGGUGCCCCACCUGUCAAUGAGAAUAUGCAGUGGAAUGCAGACGAAAAGGCAGCUUCAUCCGGAGCCUCAGAGGAUCUCCACAAAGGCAGUGACCUGGACAUGAAGAAGGAAGCCGCCACAUAUGUGACAGGAUGCCUGUGGGCAAGUGGGAACCUCAGCCUUCAGCCUCAGGGAACUAAAUUCCACCAACAAGUGCACAGUGUUAGAAAAGGACCUUAAGACCUAGAAGGGGACACAGCCCUGCCUGCGGGGCCAGCAAGCCCAGACAAUGCGCAGGCCCGUCUGCUGAUGGAGCGGUUGGACGACUCCUCUGAAGGGAGGCGUGCUCCUGGCCCCCAGUUAGGCUCCCUGUCAAGUAGACUAACUGAAACUGUGAGCCAAGACCUGGGCCUAACUCGAAUUCUAGGAGCACGAAAACUUCAUAAGUCAACAUGCGAAAGAGGAGGGCCGUCAGGAUGUUUUAUCUUUUCCAAAGACUUUUACUUCAGGAAAAGUAGUGGAGAGAGUCUGCCUGAAAAUGAGACUCAUUUGGCACGCUCCAUUCACUGAUGGCAAGCUCAGGGGGACCCAUGGGGGACACCUGCCUGGACAGGAUCUGGCCCCUAGGCGGGCACCGUGUCCAUCCCUAGUGAGGAAGGAAGGGCAGCGGUCUUACUGGGGACAAAGGCCCAUGUUUUUAUUGAUUCAUUUAUUGCCAUUUCAGAGCCUGGAAAAUUCCAGGCUCCCAGGCUCCCUCCACUCCUUCGCAGCCCCUCCUUCCCUGUGCUGCAGUUUCCAUGGCAACAGGCUCCUGAUGCAGAGGCUGGUGAAGGCUCCUGGGGAAGGGAGCUGCUGAGGCCCCACCAGCCUGGGCACCUCCGAGGGGAGGAGACCCUUAAAGGUGCAGACAUCUCACCAACAGUCAAUGCGCAUUUAAAAAAAUGUUUCAUGGAGGCAAAGCAUACAUGUGAUAAAAUUUACCCUUUCCACCGUUUUUUAGGCAUGCGGUUCUGUGGGACUGAGUGCGUUCACACUGCUGUGCACCAUCCUCAAACUGAAGCUGUCCCCAUCAUCCCACAGCUCCCCCUCUGCCCCUGCCCUCACAGCCACCAGCCUGCCUCUGUGGCUCCAAAUUCCACAGCCCUAGGCUGUGGUGAGUGACCUCCCUCUCUCUUAAAGCUGAAUCAUGGUCCCGCACGUGGCUGUGCCACGUUUGUUCAUCCCUUCACCCCUCCGUGGACACAAGGCUUCCACGUUUUGGCUCCUGUGAACAUGGGUGUGCAGGCAUCUCCAGCUCUCUGGGGUGCAGACCUGGGAGCGGAACUGCUGGGUCUCACAGCCCUGCCACAUGGUUCUCCCCACGGCUGCCUGCCCAUGGCACUUUCCCACCAGUGGUCGGGUGUCCUGCUCGCCUGCCAUCUGCUUCCUGUGGUGGGAGCCUCUGCAGACCCGCUGCAAGCUCCUGUAAGCUCCUGCUGCAAGCUCUUGCCAUUGCAGGUGCUUAGCUGAGUAGCGGUUGCUGGUGCUGGUGCCAUAAACACAACCUUCUGGGCACCUGGGUGACUCAGUGGUUAAGCCUCUGUCUCUCGCUCAGGUCAUGGUCUCAGGGUCCUGGGAUUGAGUCCCGCCUUGGGCUUUCUGCUCGGUGGGCAGCCUGCUUCUCCCU
ensembl:lincRNA